UGUAGGUCAGAUGUUGUUUAUUUAUAGCAAACUGGAUGAAAAAAAGUGUAGAAAAUCCGUGGGAUUGAAUCAUGCAUCAGCUGACUGAAUAAAAAAGAAAUGUUCACAAUCAUAAAUGUUUUGUUAAAACCAAGCAUACCGAUGAAUUGUACGAAGUUUGGAAUAUUUAUCCAGUUGCUGGCUGCAUACUGGCUGCAUGUCUUAGGCCGGUUAGGUAUCAACGAAGAAGUUAAGAAAAGAUUGUGAGACAGUGACACUCCCAGAGUACUUUUGAUGAAGAACAGUAGGGUGAUGUUGUUUGUCAUUUCGACGGAACAAAUGCCAACAUUGAAACAAAGUGUUAUCAGGAUUGAAAUAUUGGUAUGUGACAGAAGCAUUUCUUUUCAAGGAGGUCUGUGGAAAAAGCAAUAAAAGUUCCCUGCACACGCUUGACGAAUUAUGAAUCCAUGAAGAAAUGUAGACAUGAUUAAGAGUGAUAGAGCCAGCCUGAGGAUGGUUAUUGAUGAAGACUAGUAGACGAAUGACACUAGAAGUACAUACAUCAAGACAAAACAUUUGAAUUUGCCUUUUCAGCCUUCUACAUUAUCAAUAGAAGCUUUUACUCUUUUCAUUAAAGCAGUGUAAGCCUGCGAACAACUACCUCCGGGUUGUAGACAAAUUCCAUGGACUCCUCAGAUCCUCGUCAAAAGCAGAAGAACUUUUAUAUUGAUUUGACUGUCCAACCAUUUUUAAAAAUAAACAUGAUUUUGAACGCAAUCUGUGUUCUUUCAUUGGAUUGUCUUCUGGUUUCCAUUUAUUUAGUCUAAGAGAACAAUAAAAAACUCUCUACAAUAUCCGCUUUUCCUGUAUAAUA